UCUUGAGAUCCGUUUCAGAAAGUUGAAAACAAAUUGAGGUUGGGUCUUAAUUUGUUCUUUGUUUUUUUAAUUUGUCUUGGAUUUCUUAUGUAAAAAUCAAUAAUCUUUACUUUCUAGCGAUUUCUUUUAUCACUUUGGAUUUUAUGUCAUCUUAGUGGACAUUUGGACGAUAUUUAGUUCAAAUUAUAAAAGAAUAUACGAAAUUAAAGUUGGGAAAAGUAUUCGAAAGUUGAAGUUAGGCUUGCUGAAGGGUUUGCAAGUGAAAAUUAUUAUUAGCUGCUGCUAUAGUCCUAAACUGGAGGAAGCUACAAAGACCAUUUCUGGCCUCUGCACUCUAUUAUUCUUUCACAGUUAAAGCUGAGUCUUCAACUUGGGUUUAAAGGUUAUAUUGUAAUUAUUCAGGUACUUAUCUUGUUGUUGCAAUUUACCAAGUCUUCAACUUGGGUUUAAUGGUUACAUUGUAACUAUUUAGAUCUUCUUGCUUUUUCAACUGUAAAGAAUUGGGGUUGCAAAUUUUGAAACAUUAUUCACUGAGUUCCAGCUUUCCCUUCGCCUUAAUUUGGUUAUUCAAGUUUGUCUCUACUGCUGUUUAGAGGUUUUUUGAAUUCUUGCUUUUCGUCAGCGAUUUUUCCAGCGACCCCUGCUCUUUUCUUCCUAUUCUCUCAUCUGCUUUUAGUGGGGGUGUGUGGGUGUGUUCUGUUUUCUUGUACAUGUGCUUUAUUUUUCUGGCGAGGAUUUACGGUUUUUUGAAUUCUUGCUUUUCGUCAGUGAUUUUUCCGGCGACCCCUGCUCUUUUCUUCCUAUUCUCUCUUCUGCUUUUUGUGGAGGUGUGUGGGUGUGUACUGUUUUCGUGGACAUGUGCCUUAUUUUUCCGGCGAGGAUUUACGGCAAGCUACAGUACUUUUGGCGACUCCCGUUCAGACUUCCUGUAGGACGCAAUAGAACUACACGUUCCGUAAGCUUCAGGAAAACUUGCCCAAGGUACUAGUCGCAGGUGCGAGGCCAGUUGGCAGCGUUUGGGAGUGAAGAGCUAAGCAACAGCGGCCGGGACGUGCAAGAGUCGGUAGCAGUUGACCUUGGGCGCAUCAAAGCCUACUUUCAGGUUUUUCCACCGGGAGUUGGUACCUCCCGCUCUCUUGUUUACUUUGUACACCUUUAUACGUAUUUUAGCUAGCAUUCUGUGUGAGGUCUACUCUGUUGCUAUCUAGUCUGCAUCUUUUUUCAUAUUCUGC
rnacentral:lncRNA from 1 species